rnacentral:miRNA from 14 species
AGGGACCUUCUGUGGUCCCAACCCCAGGUUCAGGGAGUCUGGGUAAGGUCUAAGAAUUUGCAUUUCAAACAAGUUCCCAGGUGAUGCUGAAGCUACUUAUGCAAGAGCAUUACUUUGAA